GUAUUAUAAUUCAUCACGAAUGCAGAUAUUAAUUCUGUUAACGAAUAAGUAACAUAUUUAGUUUGACAUUGAAUUAUGGUGUGAGAAUACUGUUGUACAACAGUAUCUCUGUUGACGUUAAGGCAGUUCUGAGUAUCCUCAUACGUUUGCCUUAGGGAGGGUAUCUAUUAUAGAAUAGUUUCUAUGGGGGAAGGUGGUCUGAAUCUUUAACAUUUCCUGGCCAUCUGAUUACUCAGCUAUGUCUAAAGGAACAGGUCACUCUGAUCCACUUGCAUAUUAGAAUUAGUCACAAUAUUCCUUACAGUCGCAAUGUUGGUUGAAGCAAGGUUAUACUCUCAAAAAUAACAUCUGACCAUGUAAACACAUAGACACUUUCUUGUCUUUUGACAUAUUGGUUAGUGAUAAGAAACAAAAAACAACUUAUGAGCAAAUAGCCAGGUUUAUUGUUCUGUAGCUUAUGUAGUUAAAAACUCUUAGUUUCUAUUUACCGAUCUACUGUGUUGCGUUAAUACUAUUAUUCGAACGUUAGCAUUACCGGUAACUUAGUGGCUGGGCGUUUUUCAGCAUUUUUAUGUGCCUGUUUAACUGUGCCUAUAAGAAAAUAUUUAAAGCUAAUUGAAACAAUCUAGAGUACUUGAGGCUAGAAAAUUAGUGAAUACGACAUGAACUUAUAAGUUUCCUAUAUUUCAAAACCCAGCACCUGCUUUAAUGUAUUUGGGAAUAUGACGUUCUUCCAAGUUUAUGUUCACCUCUGUCCUGUGUUCGUCUGAGAGUCAGUGUCUGACCAGUACAGCGAGAUCGAGAACCAACUUGGUGGAGCUUUACGAUAAAAGAGUAAUCUUGGUGAAACGGGCUUAAUUCUGUGUGGAUUCUAACAAUCUCUGGUCCUGGCAGAGGGCAUGGUACAAAAAGCAUAGCUCUAAGCAUGAUGGCAGGCAGGCAGUUGGUAGCCGAAUGGAGCUGGUCACUGUGCUUCCCUGUCCAUGAGGAAACAGAUCAGGACCAGCAGUGGCCUCUGACCCGAAUUCUGAAGAUCAGUGGUUAGCGAUCUGCUCUGAGUGGAUGGAGCUCAGCUGGCCACGAGGAGGUGGUCUGCAGAACCUCCUUCUCAUCAUAGAGAUAGCUGUGUGAUUGACUCUAAGUCCAGACUGAAUGUAUAUAUAGAAUCUUUACUUAUAUUAAGUAAGCUAAAAAACAAUGCAAUUAUUUACCCUUUGAAAAUAUAACAUAUUUACUCUGGAAAAAAACCCUGUUAUUUUUGUAUCUUACAUUCUCUUUUUAAAUGAUGAGCGUAUUCGGCUUAAUAUUCUCUCACCUUAGAGUUUUUAUUAUAUUGUUUUAGAACUUUUAAAAUAUACUUAUAUUUUGAUCGUGUUAAAAUCUCCCAAAAUGAUUCGGUGGCCGUGAAGUUAGAGAGAUGCAGCCAGGAGCAACUACUGUUGCUAUGGUUAGAGUGCCACAAUCCACGAAAGCACGUUGCUGUGGCUGUGGGUCUUCUCUCAGUGUGAGCUUCUGUCUCUAAAGUACAGGGAGGUACUCUUCUCUGUCACAAUUGGAUUUGUUCACCGCUGCCUAAACAGACAUAUCUAUAGGGGUGAGGUGCCCUGCUAUACACAUGCUUCCAAUAGGCUUUUUUCUUCAAUUCGUUGCUUCUAAAUACUUUUCUUUUUUUUAAUUGAUUAUUUUAUUUAUUUACAUUUCAAUUUUUGUCCCCCUUUCUAGUUUCCCCUCUGCAAGUCCCCCCUCCCAUCCCCCCUUCCCUUUUCCUCUGUGAGGGUGCUCCCCUGCCCCCCUCCCCUACCGCUUCACCAGUGUAGCAUCCCUUUACGCUGGGGUCUCAAGCCUCCACAGGACAAUGAAAGACAUUAAAGGCUGUGAGACCAAUCUGUAUCUUGAUGUUCAUAGUAGACACGAUGUUGCUUGUUACCUUGGUCAGAUUACCAGCUUAGAGGAUUUUUAUUUCAUUGAGGAAUUCUUUCCAGGUUUGUUUUCCUAAGGCCCAGAGAGUCAAAGGACACACGUUGGCCAGGGAUGUUUUUAUUUAACACUGGGAAGGCAAUUCCCCAGUUUUGUUUUCUGAUCUCCAAAUACUUUUAAUGUCAUUACAUGCCCUUAUGAUGAUAAUUGAAUUCUCAGACGGUAUGCGAGCAGAGGCAGGUGCUGUGUGCCUUAGCCUCUCCUUACUCAGCCUGACUGACACUGUUCUGUCCUCAGGUGGCGCAGCCCUCACAUACUUGUCUACACUGAGACCUCUCUCUCUCUCUCUCUCUCUCUCUCUCUCUGAGACUAAGAAACUAAGUGUUGUUAUGAUUCAGGCUCACCUGGGAUUGACAGGAUAUUAGUUAAUUUGCAAUGAUAUAUUUUUCUUAGGAUUUUGUAAUGUAGUGCCAGGGAAAUGUUAGUGAUCCCCUCCACCCCCCACCCCCCCAAAAAGAAAAGACAGGAGUUGAUCUGAUGUAACUCACAGCAGGGUCUUUAUUCUAUUUGAGCUAGCUCAGGCACCUGUGAUACACUGCUGUCACACAGGUUGGUUUUGGAGGUGGGGGAGCCCUGAAUCUCCAUUGGGGCAAGGCUUGAUAGUAAGCAGCAAACAGGGAUGUGGGGAGGGAGUAAGUGUGCAAGCAUCUUAUUGGAAAGCUAUUGUGGCCUUUAACAUAAUCGGCUAGGGUUUAAUUUCUCUUCCCCUCUGCCUUGGUGGUCGUUAGGCAGGGGGUGGGCUUGUAACGGGGAGGGGGGCAGGUUUGUUGGAGGAAUGACCUGGACACACUGGUCUUGCUGGGGAGUAGCCUAGAGACAGGAGCUAGGCUUAGGUUUUGUUGGGGGCAACUUGGAAACUCAUGCUAGGUACCAGCCUGUUAGUUUACCUGAGUUCAAACUUCUCUAAAAUGGAGCCUGAACUUAAAAGAUUUGACCUCUCAGUAACUGUUUUUAUAAAAGUUGUGGUGUUUUUCCAACUAUAAGGACUGUUUUAAAUGAAAGUAACUUAAAUCACAUAUUGGGUUUAACCAUUCAGCAUAUUACUUCUUAUUCUUUGACACCUUAAUUUCUCUUAAACUUGAGUACACUUUUCGUAAUAUAAUUUUAAUAUCAGUCACCUAUGAUUAUUAUGCCUUUUGAAUAAGACAUCUAAGAAUUCAAGGGCUCUUAAAAGUCUAUAAAGACUUCAAUUUGGAUAUUACCUCUUCAAAUUGGUUCCUAUGGUAACUUACCCGUGGCAUAAUAUGAACACUUUCUUUGGGCCUAUGAGAAGGAAUGAAAAAAUACUGGAUAUUGGUUCAUUGGAAGGCUGAGUGCAUUGUCGUUCCUUGCCCGUUUUACACAGGUACAUGAGAACAUGCAGCUUCCAGGGUACAUUCCAUUGUUUCAAGACAUCACAUUCAAAUAUUUGUUUAUAACAGAUGUGUGCUAAAAUGACUUGACAAGUUGCUGGUUUGAAUGUCUUCAUAUUAAUAUUGCAGUUUGAGAUUUUAAAAAAAUGUGUAUGGGUUAAGCCUGCAUGUAUGUCUGUAUACCACAUGAAUGCCUGUUGUUUGAGGUCUACAAGAGGGUGUCUGACACUCUGGAACUGGAGUUACAGAUGGUUGUGAGCUGCCCUGUGGGUCCUUGGGAUUGAAUCCAGGUCUAAAAUGAAAAGCAAGCUUUCUUAAUUGCUGAGCUAUCCAGCCCCAAGUUUGAAAUUUUCAAAGUGAUCAUAAUAACUAGACUUAUCAAGAUUUUUAAAUUUUUCUUAUAAUCAUACACUUGAUUAACAAAAAAAGGUCCUGGGAGUUUGCAGUUUAUUUUUCUUGCUGUAUCACAGACUGAUUGAAAACUAU
rnacentral:lncRNA from 1 species